rnacentral:rRNA from 1 species
UACGUAGGGAGCGAGCGUUACUCGGAAUCACUGGGCAUAAAGGGCGCGUAGGCGGAUACGUCAGUCCGAUGUGAAAGCCCCCGGCUCAACCGGGGAAGGCCAUCGGAUACUGCGUGUCUGGAGUGCGGGAGGGAAGAGUGGAACUCUUGGUGGAGCGGUGAAAUGCGUAGAUAUCAAGAGGAACGCCGGUGGCGAAAGCGGCUCUUUGGCCCGUAACUGACGCUGAGGCGCGAAAGCCAGGGGAG